UCAAUUACCUGCUGAAAAAAAUAUCAUGAUUGUAAACGUCUUUUUUAUACAGCGAGCUUCAUUCAUUACACUUCGGAUACGCUGACUCAUGAUUUCCCCGUGUGGGAAACUUGAUUGCGUAAUUUGUAACAGUGGGAAACUGCGUCUGUUCUUUCCUC